rnacentral:rRNA from 1 species
UUGACGGGGGCCCGCACAAGCGGUGGAGCAUGUGGUUUAAUUCGACGCAACGCGAAGAACCUUACCUGGGCUUGACAUCCCGAUCGCACCUUAUGGAAACAUAGGGGUCAGUUCGGCUGGAUCGGUGACAGGUGCUGCAUGGCUGUCGUCAGCUCGUGUCGUGAGAUGUUGGGUUAAGUCCCGCAACGAGCGCAACCCUUGUCCUUAGUUGCCAGCAUUCAGUUGGGCACUCUAAGGAGACUGCCGGUGUCAAACCGGAGGAAGGUGGGGAUGACGUCAAGUCCUCAUGGCCCUUAUGUCCAGGGCUACACACGUGUUACAAUGGUCGGUACAAAGGGCAGCUACACCGCGAGGUGAUGCUAAUCUCUAAAGCCGGUCUCAGUUCGGAUCGAAGUCUGCAACCCGACUUCGUGAAGUUGGAUUCGCUAGUAAUCGCGCAUCAGCCAUGGCGCGGUGAAUACGUUCCCGGGCCUU